UGGGGAAUUUUGCACAAUGGGGGAAACCCUGAUGCAGCGACGCCGCGUGAUUUAGAAGGCCUUCGGGUUGUAAAAAUCUUUUCUAUGGGAAGAAAAUGACAGUACCAUAGGAAUAAGGACCGGCUAAUUACGUGCCAGCAGCCGCGGUAAUACGUAAGGUCCGAGCGUUGUCCGGAAUCAUUGGGCGUAAAGGGUACGUAGGCGGGUAAGCAAGUUAGAAGUGAAAUCCUAUAGCUCAACUAUAGUAAGCUUUUAAAACUGCUCAUCUUAAGGUAUGGAAGGGAAAGUGGAAUUCCUAGUGUAGCGGUGAAAUGCGCAGAUAUUAGGAGGAAUACCGGUGGCGAAGGCGACUUUCUGGCCAUAACCUGACGCUGAGGUACGAAAGCGUGGGUAGCAAACAGG
rnacentral:rRNA from 1 species